CGAAAAGCUAACAAAAAAAGGUUCUCUCAGUGGUCAGUUAUCACUCAAAGCUGCCUCAGUCGAAAUAAACAGAGAAGCGCGCAAAGGAAGGAGAGGGAGAGAGAUAAAAAUAAAAAAACUUGAAGCCUGGCAACCUCAGGGCAGAAAGUAUGCACAUCCCUUGUGUGCUCCUCCUGCUAUAGCAUCCACAGUGAGGCUAAUGGGGCCCGCAAUAGGACGCCACCACCACCAUCAUCAGCGUCGGAAGAGACUUCCCUUCGAUCCAAAAAGCCAUUGAAGAGCAACCUAAAGAAAAAGAACCAAACAACAAAGGAAGAGCGGAGUAAUACCAAGGACAGUAAGGUGGCCUGAUGCUCAGGGAAGAGAACUUGCCCAUGUCCUUGAGUUCCAUUCCAGGGAAAUGGAAGAGGAGGAGCUCCAUGGAGUACUGAGGAACUCCUGUGUUUGCUGUAUACAGUGAGGAUGCUGAUCGCUUCAGGUUUAGAGCAGGAAAUGGAAGAGAUGGGCUAUCAUCAGGCCAUGAAGCCACGAGGGUGUAGGAUUAUCGCCAUGGAAAAGCUUAUCGUAAAAAAGUUGCAGAAUUUGGGGGCUCGGUCUGUGUCUCUUAAAUUUAUUUUAGGUUUAACCUAUAAUAACAUCACCUUGUUAUUAGUAACCUUUCUGCAAAUGUAUCCAAUAUGUAGCCAAUGUAUCAAUUUCAGAUUGUUCUGAGAAGCUUAGAUUUCAUUAGUUGGCAGAGAUCCUGUCAUUCCACAACAUGAACUGGAUUUUGAACUUUUGAGCACCAGAUUCGGCGAAUCAGUUUAAGCCGCUGAAGCUCCUAAAGUAAAGGGAUUUUGCAAUUUUGUUAUU